UGACAGUCGAAUACGAGGCUUUACUAAAAUGAAAAAGAAUAGUGAAUGGAAGAAAGUUGUGGCGGGUCGGCACAACUAUGCUGUGAAUGGACCAGAGUGGGGAGAGUCUGAAAUAGGAGAUAGUGACGAUAGUAUGGAUAUAAGCCAAGGAAGUGUGAGAAUGAAGGAAAAGAGAGGAGAUGAUUUAGCAGGAGUCAGGUCGAAGAAAAUAAGAGGCAGUGGAGGUGUUGGAGAAGGAAACGAGGAAAGAGAGAAGGCAGAUGGCGACUUCAAAAUUAUAUUGAGAUUUGCGGAGGAGAAGGGAAUUUUGUCAAUGAGUCCGGUAAAGUUAACAACCGUUUUAAAAAAUCAGGUCGGUGAUAUUAAUAUGGCAAAGGUGUUGAGAGAUGGCAAUUUGUUGAUUGUUUGUAGAAGCGAGGAACAGAGACAGCGGGCUGGUAGGAUGAAAGAAAUAGGGAGGAAUAAAGUGGUGAGUGUAAAUUAUAUUGAAAGAGGAACUAAAUGGUGUAAAGGAGUGAUCUGGGGAGUGCCAGUCAGCGUUACUAUGGACGAAAUCAAGGCAAACUUAAAGGGAGGAAGUGUGAAGGGUGUUCGGAGGCUGCAGGUAACUCGUGAGGGAGUAAGGCUAGACAGCGAGUCUAUCAUGGUUGAAUUUGAAGAUGAAGUGCUUCCCAAAAAAGUAACUCUAGGCUUUAUGAGUUAUAAUGUAAGAGAAUAUGUACCAAAGCCAAUGAGAUGUUACAACUGUCAAAGAUUUGGUCAUACAGCCAAAACCUGCAAAGGCAGAAGAAGAUGUGCUAGAUGUGGAGAAGAUCAUGAUUAUGAGCAGUGUGGUCACAUGGAGCAACCCAGAUGUUGUAACUGUGGUGGAAAUCAUAGUGUGGCUUAUGGUGGCUGUGAAGUACUGAAAAGGGAAAAAGAAAUACAACAGGCGAGGAUUCAGGGUAAGGUGACGUAUGCAGAGGCUGUGAGGAUAGUAAGUCAGAGAGGAGGAAAUGGAGAAAGAAGCAGUACAGGUAAACAACUCGAUAAGGAUUCAGAUCAGGCAAAUGAAGAGAAGGUGAUGGUUGACAUUAAGAAACUAGUCACAUUCAUAGCAGGAGUAAUCAAUGCUACAAUGGGGAUCAAGUCUAAAACAGAGAGAAUACAAAUUAUUGUAAAAGCAGCAGUCCAGCAUCUAGAUAUCAGAGGACUGACAUGGGAGGAGGUUAGAAAUGAUCUCAGUGUCCAAACAAGUCAAGAACAGUCAGGAACUGGAUAGUGUUGAUAAUGGUUCUCUGUCUGCAAUGGAAUGCGAGAAGCUUAUUGGCUAAUGGACAGGAAUUUAAAAAGUUUAUAGAUGAUUUGCCCAUUAAGCCAGAUGUGAUUUGUGUACAGGAAACGUGGUUGAAACCAAACUUGGAUUUUAGAAUAGUUGGUUAUUCAUCUGUUAGAAGUGAUAGGGAGGAGGGAAAUGGAGGGGGAUGUGCUACAUUUAUUCAGGAAGAUAUUGCAUUUAGAGAGGUGAGUAUAGGAAGUGAGCAAGAUUAUGUUGGUGUAGAGAUAUGGACAGGUGAGGGAAAGUUUGUAAUUAUUAAUUUUUAUAAUCCUUGUAAGAGGCUAGUUUUAGAUAACUUAAAACAAAUUGAUGGGAUGGAUAGUGAUAGGGUGUUGGUAUGUGGGGAUUUUAAUGCGCAUAGCACUUUAUGGGGAGGAGUUAGAACAGAUACAAAUGGGGAGGUCAUAGAAGAGUUAUUAGA
ensembl:lncRNA